AGAGUUUGAUCCUGGCUCAGAAUCAACGCUGGCGGCGUGCCUAACACAUGCAAGUCGAACGCGAAAGUCCCGAAAGGGAUAAGUAGAGUGGCAAACGGGUGAGUAACACGUGGGUGACCUGCCUUCGAGCGGGGGAUAACGUCCCGAAAGGGACGCUAAUACCGCAUGACAUCCUGCCUUUGAAGAGGUGGAGAUCAAAGCUGGGGAUCGCAAGACCUAGCACUCGAAGAGGGGCCCGCGCCUGAUUAGCUAGUUGGUGGGGUAACGGCUCACCAAGGCGACGAUCAGUAGCCGGCCUGAGAGGGCGGACGGCCACACUGGGACUGAGACACGGCCCAGACUCCUACGGGGAGGCAGCAGUGGGGAAUUGUUCGCAAUGGGGCGCAAAGCCUGACGACCGCAACGGCCGGCGUGGGAAGGACGAAAGACCUUUCGGGGUCGUAAAACUUCCUUUUCGAUUCGAGAACGAAACGGCCCUUCCCGGGUGAACACAUCCGGAAGGAGUGACACGUUACCGAAAAGAAAAAGCCCCGGGCUAACUUCCGUUGGCCGCCAACCGCGGGUAAAUAACGGGGGGGGGCAAGCGCUUGUGUUCGGAAAUUACUCGGGGCGUAAAAGGGCUUCGUAGAGCGGGCCCACCUAAAGUCACAACAGUGAGAAUCCCCUCUGGGCUUAACCCGGGGAACUGCGGUCUUGAUACUUGGGAAUGGCGUGUCGAUAAUCUGGGAGUACUAGGGAUCAGCAGAGGAAUUCGUACUCUACGCGUUCAGCGAUGCAUUCGCGUAGAUUUCUGAAGCACACUCCGGUGGACGAUCGCGUCAUUCUGUGAACACAUCUCUGACGGCUGAAGGAGACGAAAACGCCACGGCGGAACCAACGGGGAUUAGAUACCCCUGUUAGUCCUCGCGCUCUAAUCAGAUGAAUGCUUGGUUGUGGCGAGGUAUCGAUCCCUCGCCGGUGCCGGAAAGCUAACCGCCAUUAAAGCCAUUCCCCCCUGGGGGAGUUACGGUUCGCAAGGGCUGAAAUCUCAAAAGGGAAUUGGACGGGGGCCCCGCCCCAAGCCGGUGGAAGCAUGGUGGUUUCAUUUCGACGCAACCGCGGAAGGACCUUUACCCCAGGGCUUGAACCAGCGGAGUGACCACUUCAGGAAAAUUGAGCUUCCGCAAAGGACCACUCGUAGAGGUGCUGCAUGGCUGUUCGUCCAGCUCGUGUCGUGAGAUGUUGGGUUAAAGUCCCGCAACGAGCGCAACCCUUGUCUUCUGUUGCCAUCAGGUUAAGCUGGGCACUCUGGAGAGACUGCCGGUGAUAAACCGGAGGAAGGUGGGGAUGACGUCAAGUCAGCAUGGCCUUUAUGUCUGGGGCUACACACGUGCUACAAUGGCCGGCACAAACCGUCGCGAGCCCGCAAGGGGGAGCUAAUCGGAGAAAGUCGGUCUCAGUUCGGAUCGUCGGCUGCAACUCGCCGGCGUGAAGUUGGAAUCGCUAGUAAUCGCGGAUCAGCACGCCGCGGUGAAUACGUUCCCGGGCCUUGUACACACCGCCCGUCACAUCACGAAAGCCGGUUGUACUAGAAGCCGCCACAUCAACCCGCAAGGGAGAGAGGCGUCUAAGGUAUGGUCGGUGAUUGGGGUGAAGUCGUAACAAGGUAACC
rnacentral:rRNA from 1 species